rnacentral:rRNA from 1 species
AUUGAACGCUGGCGGCAUGCCUUACACAUGCAAGUCGAACGGCAGCACGGGAGCAAUCCUGGUGGCGAGUGGCGAACGGGUGAGUAAUACAUCGGAACGUGCCCAGUAGUGGGGGAUAACCCGGCGAAAGCCGGACUAAUACCGCAUACGACCUACGGGUGAAAGCGGGGAUCGCAAGACCUCGCGCUAUCGGAGCGGCCGAUGUCAGAUUAGCUAGUUGGUGGGGAAAAGCCCACCAAGGCGACGAUCUGUAGCUGGUCUGAGAGGACGACCAGCCACACUGGGACUGAGACACGGCCCAGACUCCUACGGGAGGCAGCAGUGGGGAAUUUUGGACAAUGGGCGCAAGCCUGAUCCAGCCAUUCCGCGUGCAGGAUGAAGGCCCUCGGGUUGUAAACUGCUUUUGUACGGAACGAAAAGGCGCCUUCUAAUACAGGGCGCUGAUGACGGUACCGUAAGAAUAAGC